rnacentral:rRNA from 1 species
AUUAGCCAUGCAUGUCUCAGUACAAGCCAAAUUAAGGUGAAACCGCGAAAGGCUCAUUAAAUCAGUUAUGGUUCCUUAGAUCGUACCCACAUUUACUUGGAUAACUGUGGUAAUUCUAGAGCUAAUACAUGCAAACAGAGCUCCAACCGGAGACGGAAGGAGUGCUUUUAUUAGAACAAAACCAAUCGGCGGCGUGUUCGCUUGCGUUCACGUUCGCCGCCCAACUUGGUGACUCUGAAUAACUUUACGCUGAUCGCACGGUCUCGUACCGGCGACGCAUCUUUCAAAUGUCUGCCUUAUCAACUGUCGAUGGUAGGUUCUGCGCCUACCAUGGUUGUAACGGGUAACGGGGAAUCAGGGUUCGAUUCCGGAGAGGGAGCCUGAGAAACGGCUACCACAUCCAAGGAAGGCAGCAGGCGCGCAAAUUACCCACUCCCGGCACGGGGAGGUAGUGACGAAAAAUAACGAUACGGGACUCAUCCGAGGCCCCGUAAUCGGAAUGAGUACACUUUAAAUCCUUUAACGAGGAUCAAUUGGAGGGCAAGUCUGGUGCCAGCAGCCGCGGUAAUUCCAGCUCCAAUAGCGUAUAUUAAAGUUGUUGCGGUUAAAAAGCUCGUAGUUGAAUCUGUGUCCCGCGCUGUCGGUUCACCGCCCGCGGUGUUUAACUGGCACGAUCGCGGGACGUCCUGCCGGUGGAUGUGUGUGUCAGUGCAUUUCGGUGUUGCUGCUCCGCAUCCGACUCAACAAAUCCUGUCGCGGUGCUCUUAAUUGAGUGUCGAGGCGGGCCGGCACGUUUACUUUGAACAAAUUAGAGUGCUCAAAGCAGGCUAAAAUUACGCCUGAAUACUGUGUGCAUGGAAUAAUGGAACAGGACCUCGGUUCUAUUUUGUUGGUUUUCGGAACCCCGAGGUAAUGAUUAAUAGGGACAGAUGGGGGCAUUCGUAUUGCGACGUUAGAGGUGAAAUUCUUGGAUCGUCGCAAGACGGACAGAAGCGAAAGCAUUUGCCAAAAAUGUUUUCAUUAAUCAGAACGAAAGUCAGAGG